UGGCGGCGUGCCUAACACAUGCAAGUCGAACGGGGUUUGCUUCGGUAGAACCUAGUGGCGAACGGGUGAGUAACGCGUAGGCAACCUGCCCCCCGGAUUGGGACAACACCCCGAAAGGGGUGCUAAUACCGGAUACGAAGAUAGCACCGCAUGGUGAUAUUUUGAAAGAUGGCCUCUACAGGUAAGCUAUCGCCGGGGGAUGGGCCUGCGUCCGAUUAGCUGGUUGGUGGGGUAACGGCCCACCAAGGCGACGAUCGGUAGCCGGUCUGAGAGGAUGAACGGCCACAUUGGGACUGAGACACGGCCCAGACUCCUACGGGAGGCAGCAGUGGGGAAUCUUCCGCAAUGGGCGCAAGCCUGACGGAGCAACGCCGCGUGAGUGAGGAAGUUUUUCGGAAAACCGUAAAGCUCUGUUGUACAUGACGAACGUGCGAUCUGUCAACAACGGAUGGCAGUGACGGUAGUGUACGAGGAAGCCACGGCUAACUACGUGCCAGCCGCUGC
rnacentral:rRNA from 1 species